rnacentral:rRNA from 1 species
GAUGAACGCUGGCGGCGUGCCUAAUACAUGCAAGUCGAGCGAACAGACGAGGAGCUUGCUCCUCUGACGUUAGCGGCGGACGGGUGAGUAACACGUGGAUAACCUACCUAUAAGACUGGGAUAACUUCGGGAAACCGGAGCUAAUACCGGAUAAUAUUUUGAACCGCAUGGUUCAAUAGUGAAAGACGGUUUUGCUGUCACUUAUAGAUGGAUCCGCGCUGCAUUAGCUAGUUGGUAAGGUAACGGCUUACCAAGGCAACGAUGCGUAGCCGACCUGAGAGGGUGAUCGGCCACACUGGAACUGAGACACGGUCCAGACUCCUACGGGAGGCAGCAGUAGGGAAUCUUCCGCAAUGGGCGAAAGCUUGACGGAGCAACGCCGCGUGAGUGAUGAAGGUCCUCGGAUCGUAAAACUCUGUUAUUAGGGAAGAACAAAUGUGUAAGUAACUAUGCACGUCUUGACGGUACCUAAUCAGAAAGCCACGGCUAACUACGUG